rnacentral:snoRNA from 1 species
UUUGCUGAUGAUGCGUGAGGAGCGCUCCUCCCAUCCUCCAAAAGAGCAGAAUUAACCAACUGACGCUUUCACGGUGCCGUUGCCGCCGCGCCCCUCUGCUCCCCGGCUGCCCUCGCGGGCGGCGGUGCUGCUGAGCGGCCGCUGCGGCUGCGGUGCGUGCGUGAUGCCGAGCGGUGCUGAAU